rnacentral:rRNA from 1 species
GGGGGGGGGGGGGGGGGGGGGGGGGGGGGGGGGGGGGGGGGGGGGGGGGGGGGGGGGGCCUUCGGGGGGGGGGCUUGGUUUCGAGUGGCGGGCGGGUGAGUAGCGCGUGGGUGGGCUGCCUGACACAGGGGGGUAGCAGUGGGGAACGACGGUUAGUACCGCAUACGACCACAGCCCCGCAUGGUGCGGGGGGAAAAACUCCGGUGGUAUGAGACGGACCCGCGUUCGAUUAUCCAUUUGGCGGGGUAACGGCCCACCAAAGCGACGAUCGAUAGCCGAUCUGAGAGGAUGACCGGACACAUUGGGACUGAGACACGGCCCAAACUCCUACGGGAGGCAGCAGUGGGGAAUAUUGCACAAUGGGGGAAACCCUGAUGCAGCGACGCCGCGUGAGUGAAGAAGUAUUUCGGUAUGUAAAGCUCUAUCAGCAGGGAAGAAAAUGACGGUACCUGAGUAAGAAGCCCCGGCUAACUACGUG